AACGAACGCUGGCGGCAUGCCUAACACAUGCAAGUCGAACGAGACCUUCGGGUCUAGUGGCGCACGGGUGCGUAACGCGUGGGAACCUGCCCUUAGGUUCGGAAUAACUCCCCGAAAGGGGUGCUAAUACCGGAUAAUGUCUUCGGACCAAAGAUUUAUCGCCUUUGGAUGGGCCCGCGUUGGAUUAGCUAGUUGGUAGGGUAAAAGCCUACCAAGGCGACGAUCCAUAGCUGGUCUGAGAGGAUGAUCAGCCACACUGGGACUGAGACACGGCCCAGACUCCUACGGGAGGCAGCAGUGGGGAAUAUUGGACAAUGGGCGAAAGCCUGAUCCAGCAAUGCCGCGUGAGUGAUGAAGGCCAUAGGGUUGUAAAGCUCUUUUACCCGGGAUGAUAAUGACAGUACCGGGAGAAUAAGCUCCGGCUAACUCCGUG
rnacentral:rRNA from 1 species